rnacentral:rRNA from 1 species
AACGAACGCUGGCGGCAGGCCUAACACAUGCAAGUCGAACGCUGUAGCAAUACAGAGUGGCAGACGGGUGAGUAACACGUGGGAAUCUUCCUAUCAGUACGGAAUAGCUCAGGGAAACUUGAGGCAAUACCGCAUACGCCCUUCGGGGGAAAGAUUUAUCGCCGAUAGAUGAGCCCGCGUCUGAUUAGCUAGUUGGUGAGGUAAUGGCUCACCAAGGCGACGAUCAGUAGCUGGUCUGAGAGGAUGACCAGCCACACUGGGACUGAGACACGGCCCAGACUCCUACGGGAGGCAGCAGUGGGGAAUAUUGGACAAUGGGCGCAAGCCUGAUCCAGCCAUGCCGCGUGAGUGACGAAGGUCUUCGGAUUGUAAAGCUCUUUUGCCAGGGACGAUAAUGACGGUACCUGGAGAAUAAGCCCCGGCUAACUUCGUGCCAGCAGCCGCUGUAACAC